rnacentral:misc_RNA from 1 species
GCUGACUAYUGGCGCCGUGUCSMGUCAUUCGUGCGGCUAAUGUCGCUGUUGCCUUKCRMGUGCUUGCACGMCGGUACCCGACCUACGGGAAGUGGUGCUUUAUAAACGGUUGCCUCGCGGUGCACGCCUUCGGGUGUGUYGCUGCGGCCAAAUGGUACUUGCGGCGUUGCCUCGUGGUGCUGGCACUCAUUAUGUGCCUGGUGCUAUCAAGGYAGCCUCGCUUGUGCUCUUGGUUUUGGAUGCUGCUCACGCUAAAGGCUCGUGGACCUUACGGUUUCCAUGACCCGACCCUCAAGAAGCUCUCCGAAUUUUGAGAACAACCGGAACAGGUGUUGCCUCUACCUCUCCACAGUUAGUGGUAGGAUUACGCAACAUUCUGUGCCGAUCCUCGAAUUAGUAGGAUGAGCUCGGCCUGCUCAAUAGUGAUAACCGCCCCGGUUGCUGUUCCGCUCUGCCACUUAGGUGGUGGGGGGACACAUGGAUGGCAACYGACGUCGGCCGUCACCGAACUUUUGAGAACAACCGGAACAGGUGUUGCCUCUACCUCUCCACAGUUAGUGGUAGGAUUACGUAACAUUCUGUGCCGAUCCUCAAAUUAGUAGGUUGAGUUUGGCCCGCUGAAUUGUGACAACCGGCCCGGGCGCUGUUCCGCUCUGCCACUUAGGUGGUGGGGGGACACAUGGAUGGCAACCGACGCCGGCUGCAACAAGGACGUGCUACCUGGUUGAUCCUGCCAGUAGUC